rnacentral:rRNA from 1 species
GACGAACGCUGGCGGCGUGCCUAACACAUGCAAGUCGAACGGAGUGAAACGCUGAAUUGAAGGUAGCUUGCUACUGAAUUUUCUUGUUUCACUUAGUGGCGGACGGGUGAGUAACGCGUGAGUAACCUGCCUUACAGAGGGGGGACAACAGUUGGAAACGACUGCUAAUACCGCAUAACGUCUAACCGAGGCAUCUCGGAUAGACCAAAGGAGCAAUCCGCUGUAAGAUGGACUCGCGUCCAAUUAGAUAGUUGGUGGGUAACGGCCACCAAGUCGACGAUUGGUAGCCGGACUGAGAGGUUGAACGGCCACAUUGGGACUGAGACACGGCCCAGACUCCUACGGGAGGCAGCAGUGGGGGAUAUUGCACAAUGGGGGAAACCCUGAUAGCAGCAACGCCGCGUGAGGGAA